CCGCACACACACACAGAGGAGUCGUGUUACGUUUCAUGACAGCGAGCCCCGUCGGACAACAGAGGACUCUGGCGGUGAGGAGGGGGACUCGGUGCGGAAGCGCUGUCGUUGCAGCUGGGAGUCGACAGUGUCCUUGCUGAUGGCCCAUGUUCAGGACGAGUUGUCUUUGCACUGACUGAGCACCUCUUCCAUCUUCUCCUGGAUGUCCUGCACCCUCUUGGCCCACUUGUCCCGCACCUCGUCUUCAUCGUCCUCCGUAACAGCUGUGUAGGCCAUGAGGGCAAUGAGGCCCAUGUGGAACAGGUGGGUGAUGUGCGAACAGCGGCGCUCCAUGACCUCACGGUUGCCGUCGCAGUUGUCCAGGUACACCUUGAGCAGGGGUCUUCCGAACAGCAGCUUGGUACCCAUCACACCACGGUAGUACACAUCCAGGCUCAUGUCGCUCUUGUCCCUCUCAUAAAUCUUCUCGAAGGCCUCCAUGUGGCGCCGGGUGUUGUCUGGAUCUUUCUUCACCUGUGCCACCAUGUUGUUGAAGGCAGUGUACUGGUGCUUAAUGUACUCCUCGUACUUGCCAUAGGUUUCGUUCACCUCGUCGAUGCGGAUCCGCUUCAAGCAUUGGUGGUUCUUUGCGGAGAUGGUCUCCAGUUUGGUGUUGAGCGGCUGGAACUCCUUGUCGAGUGCGUGGCCCUCCUCCUCAAUAAGGCCCUUGCGAGCCACCCCAAUCAGGGAGGAGACUAUGCCAAAGAUGGGGUCGAUGGAGGAGGCGAAGGAGGACACCUUCUCCACGCAGCACAGCACCUUGACUGCAGUUUUCUUGAUCGUUUCUGCAUCAGCCAUCACUGCUGCUUUCCCUCUGCCACAAUAAUGUUCGACUCAAAGGAAGUCUGGAGGCUGGAGAGUUUUAAAAAAAACACAGUAUGUUUAAAAUAUCUCUUAAAUAUAUUUAGUAUGUCUUUUAGACUCAAUCUGUGCUCAGUAGCUUCAUCUUCUGCCCACAGUCUAACAGCUUUACCUAAAUCAUUGGUCACAGAGGGUCUUUGCAAUACCCUAAAAAUGAAGCUCAUGGCUAACUCUAACUGCUGGCAUGUGCACUACAGCCCACAUGUGACCAACUGCUGCACAAAAGCCAUAUUGUAGAAGGUGUCAUCUUACAGUCUGAUGUUACUGGCAACAGGUCACAUGUAGGCACAGAGCUCCAUCAUGAGGAGCAAACUUAGGCUUAAAGUAAACAAUAGUUUUGUUAUUGAUUAACCUGUUAUGAAUUAGAAUUGCUUAUUUUGUCCAAACAGCAUACACAAUAUUUAGUUAACCAUAAAAUAUACACAAUGGUUACAUGUUUGCCAUCCCCAAUGUCAGAAUUAAACAUUCAGUUGAAGAUUAAGCAAGUAUUGUGCUUUGGGAAAUCCUUUUAUGACAUUGUUUAUAAUAAACUGAAACUAGUUUCUGAGACGGACACAAAUCUAUCUCAUAGUUUUGACAUGAAUCAUCCUUCUCAAUGUUGUCCUGCAGGAAACAUACCUCUGACCACAGUGGGUGUGUCUUCAUAGGAACACAAGAAUGACAGCAAAUAAACAAAUGGUUACAUGUCGUGCAUUUUAAUUGAAGUGAUUGUAGAAAUCUUCAGCAUAUAUUGGCAAGUAACACAAGUGAAACAUACAGUGGUCUCUUUGAAACUAAAAAUGAUACACAAUGUCGAUACAAUAACUAAAAUGCUGCAAUAAGAAUAAUAAUGAAAGCCUAGCCUAAAUAAGAUAUAUAUUAUAACCUAUUUGGUCUUUUUUUCCGUUUGUUGUAUCGUCUUUAUCAAUUCAAAUAAACUCCUGUGGCUAUUUGGCACCGUGAACUUGAA